rnacentral:rRNA from 1 species
UACAGAGGUCUCAAGCGUUUGUCCGGAUUUAUUGGGCGUAAAGAGCGUGUAGGCGGCUAGGUAGGUCCGUUGUGAAAACUCGAGGCUCAACCUCGAGACGCCGAUGGAAACCAUCUAGCUAGAGUCCGGAAGAGGAGAGUGGAAUUCCUGGUGUAGCGGUGAAAUGCGCAGAUAUCAGGAAGAACACCCGUGGCUAAGGCGGCUCUCUAGUACGGUACUGACGCUGAGACGCGAAAGCGUGGGGAGCGAACAGG